UUCGGGCGUGGUAGCGGCCGCCUGUAACCCAAACGCGGGGGAAGGAAGAUGAGGAUGUGGGGCGUCGGGGACAGGACCUGCGGAGACAUGUGGAGGGCCUGUCCACUCCAAGCGCGGAGUCGGCAGCGGGAUCUCGCCGGAGGGUGAGGUUUCGCUGGCGAUAGUGAGGGGGACAUCGCGUCAGGCGGGCAACCGAGCAGCGUUCAUUCCCCGCUCUGUGCAGUGGAGGGAUAGCGGGCCUGAAUGUUCAGCGCAGAUCAUCCUGCUCGGCAUGCAGCUGCAAACCCAUCUUCCCU
rnacentral:SRP_RNA from 1 species